rnacentral:rRNA from 1 species
GGGGAAUUUUCCGCAAUGGGCGAAAGCCUGACGGAGCAAGACCGCGUGGGGGAUGAAGGUUUGUGGAUUGUAAACCCCUUUUGAUUGGGAAGAAUACUGACGGUACCAAUCGAAUAAGCCUCGGCUAACUCCGUGCCAGCAGCCGCGGUAAUACGGAGGAGGCAAGCGUUAUCCGGAAUUAUUGGGCGUAAAGCGUCCGUAGGUGGUUUAGUAAGUCUGCUGUUAAAGCGCGGGGCUUAACUCCGUAUCGGCAGUGGAAACUACUAGACUAGAGUGUGGUAGGGGUAGAAGGAAUUCCCAGUGUAGCGGUGAAAUGCGUAGAUAUUGGGAAGAACACCGGUGGCGAAAGCGCUCUACUGGGCCAUAACUGACACUGAUGGACGAAAGCUAGGGGAGCGAAAGGGAUUAGAUACCCCUGUAGUC